UUGGUAGCAUUUUUUUGUAGAUUCUGAUAUUCUAUCUUGUGAUAUUACAGGAUAUAAAUCACAGUCUACAGAUGCAUUCAUCAUUCAUUAGAAGGCUUUCUCUGGAAAGAGAACUGGAGGUGUGUACUAUGUGCUUAAAUCUUGAUAUAUCUUGCAAGGGAUGUUUUUCUAUUGGAAUCAUAACUUUGAUCAACACAUUAGUGUCGCUUACCUUCUGUAUGUAUUGCUCCAUCCAGGAGAAAGGAAGAGAAAUGAAAAGUAUUUUGAUCAUUAUGAGAAAAAUUGAGAUAGAAACCUAUACGCCCUAACCUUUUUAUGUUGCAGACUCUAGAUAUACAUUUACUUGUCUCUGUUUACCAAACAUUGAUAAAGAGUUGAUCUGUGUUGUUUUCAAGCGCAUCAAGGAUGUCUAAAUACUAUUGCUUGGAAUUCAAAAGGCUCACUAUUGAUAUCUUGAUCUGAUGAUGCUCAUGUAAAUCUUUGGAGUUAUGAAAGUCGCAAGCUUUUGCAUUCCAUUGACAGUGGUCAUAGAAAUAAUAUAUUUUGCACAAAGUUUGUUCCUAAAACAUCUGAUGAGUUGGUAGCAUCUGGAGCUGGUGAUACUUAAGUUCGACUAUUCAAUAUGUCUCGCACACAUGAAGAUACUGUUAGUAACCUAUCAGCUCAUUUUCAAUGCCACAGCAGGAGAGUUAAAAAAUUAGCUGUAGAAACUGGUAACCCGAAUGUUGUCUGGAGUGCCAGUGAGGAUGCCACUCUGAGACAGCAUGAUCUCAGAGAGGUCACUUCUUGUCCCCCUGCUGAGAACUGUAAAGGACUACUGGAAUUUACUUGUGUACACUGACUUUAGAGUAGAGAUUUUCUAGCUAUUUGAACGGGGUCUAGCUUAUGUUGGAACUGAUUAUCUUUCAUUUUCUUUGUUGGAUAAAUACAUUGAAUAUGAGUAUCAACUAUAGAAAUGGUCGAAUCUUGCCAUGAUUUACCCAUGAAUAUUGGAGAUUCCUAAUCAGCAGUUGGAUCGGUAUUUCAACAGCUUUAUGUAAUUAGCUGCUAGUCGCCCUUUAUCAGAACUGAGAACAACUGAAGAACAUGAAGCUGCAGCAAGGGCAAAAGGGGAAUUCAAGAAUCAAGAAAGUGAGGGUGAGAUCCAUCCGAAUGAUGGAUUAACAGAAGCUAAAUAGUUGGAGACCUAUAUUUCCCUUAUAGAAGAGCUUUAUAAAAAAAGGAUUUCAAUUCUAAAAUCAUAGAUUAUGAAACAGCCAUCAUGAGAUGUUUCUUAUCACUGAUAAAGAUAAGGAGGAGAAGUUUCUCUUUUGUGAUUCCAUUAGAUGUAACUUAUCAUAUACUCAUUUAUGUUGUAAGUUUUAUGGAAAAUUGUAGGUUAUUAGCACAUGGGGAGUGCGUAACAAGAUUUUUGCAAAAAUAGAAAAUUUUGAGGUCGGAUGCCCACAUUUUUCAAGUUGUAUGUAAUCAAAUUGUCUCUUAUGUUGGGGAGAUUACUUUAAUGUCACAUUGAAAUUUCAUCGAAUA